UACGGAGGGUGCAAACGUUGCUCGGAAUCAUUGGGCGUAAAGCGCUCGCAGGCGGUCCCGUGCGUCGUGCGUGAAAGGCCCCGGCUCAACCGGGGGCGGUCGUGCGAUACGGCGGGACUGGAGGCCAGUAGGGGGACGCGGAAUUCCGGGUGUAGUGGUGGAAUGCGUAGAGAUCCGGAGGAACACCAGCGGCGAAGGCGGCGUCCUGGACUGGACCUGACGCUCAGGAGCGAAAGCGUGGGGAGCGAUCCGG
rnacentral:rRNA from 1 species